GAUGAAGAACGCAGCGAAAUGCGAUAAGUAGUGUGAAUUGCAGACUUUAGUGAAUCAUCGAAUCUUUGAACGCACAUUGCGCCCCCUGGUAUUCCGGGGGGCAUGCCUGUCCGAGCGUCAUUACAACCCUCAAGCUCAGCUUGGUGUUGGGCCCCGCCGCCCCGGCGGGCCCUAAAGUCAGUGGCGGUGCCGUCCGGCUCCGAGCGUAGUAAUUCUUCUCGCUCUGGAGGUCCGGUCGUGUGCUCGCCAGCAACCCCCAAUUUUUUUCAGGUUGACCUCGGAUCAGGUAGGGAUACCCGCUGAACUUAAGCAUAUCAAUAAGCGGAGGA
rnacentral:misc_RNA from 1 species